rnacentral:rRNA from 1 species
CCUACGGGUGGCAGCAGUGGGGAAUAUUGGACAAUGGGGGCAACCCUGAUCCAGCCAUGCCGCGUGUGUGAAGAAGGCCCUCGGGUUGUAAAGCACUUUCAGUGAGGAAGAACGCCUGGUGGUUAAUACCCAUCAGGAAAGACAUCACUCACAGAAGAAGCACCGGCUAACUCCGUGCCAGCAGCCGCGGUAAUACGGGGGGUGCGAGCGUUAAUCGGAAUUACUGGGCGUAAAGCGCGCGUAGGUGGCUUGAUAAGCCGGUUGUGAAAGCCCCGGGCUCAACCUGGGAACGGCAUCCGGAACUGUCAAGCUAGAGUGCAGGAGAGGAAGGUAGAAUUCCCGGUGUAGCGGUGAAAUGCGUAGAGAUCGGGAGGAAUACCAGUGGCGAAGGCGGCCUUCUGGACUGACACUGACACUGAGGUGCGAAAGCGUGGGUAGCAAACAGGAUUAGAUACCCCGGUAGUC